rnacentral:rRNA from 1 species
UACGGAGGGGGCUAGCGUUGUUCGGAAUUACUGGGCGUAAAGCGCACGUAGGCGGCUUUGUAAGUUAGAGGUGAAAGCCCAGGGCUUAACCCUGGAAUUGCCUUUAAGACUGCAUCGCUCGAAUUGUGGAGAGGUGAGUGGAAUUCCGAGUGUAGAGGUGAAAUUCGUAGAUAUUCGGCGGAACACCAGUGGCGAAGGCGACUCACUGGCCCGAUACUGACGCUGAGGCGCGAAAGCGUGGGGAGCAAACAGG